CGUCAAAAAAAUGUUCACCACCUGGCUGGUACGAAACACCGCAAGCCCAUUCCCAAUUUAAUUUACGUUCCGACAAGAACUUCAAUCACCGGCCGCCUCCCGUCCGUCCAGAUGCGGACGACACGCCCCUCGCUCAUCGGUCAGAUGGGCGUCAAUGCAGAAGGGCCGGUCUCUAGUAUCGAUUCUCGUUGCAACGUCCCC
rnacentral:lncRNA from 1 species